UUCUUAUUCGCUGACAUUUGUUUUCUAAUUGCUUGAAAUUUGGUAAUUUCCUUAGUGUUUUCCUGGCCGACCUGUGCUGGUAUUGUAAUUAAGAGCUAAUACACCUGCGGCCGAAUUUGAUUGUGUGCAUCAUCCUGCAGAUAUUUUGAA